CCCUUUUGUAGCUAUCUCUGGGUCAGUAGGCAUGGCUACUACCUGCAUUCUUUUGAUCACAUGUUGAAUGAGUUGUAUUAAGCAAGAGAUCAUGCAUGGUAAAAAGAUUAGAGUUGCUACAACACAUAAGAGGAAAAAAAGCAUUUGUUUGACUCAUAGGCCACCAGGUAACCAUGAAAACAUGUCUCAUUCCCAUCCUUUCCAUGUUUGGACCGGUACAUGGGCUAACUUUCUUAUUCCUUUUGUUAUUUGUUUUACCACUUUUCUUUUGUCAUCUAUUUGCAAACAGCAGUUUGAGU